rnacentral:rRNA from 1 species
AUUGAACGCUGGCGGAAUGCUUUACACAUGCAAGUCGAACGGUAGAGGGGGCAACCCCUUGAGAGUGGCGAACGGGUGAGUAAUGUAUCGGAACGUGCCCAGUCGUGGGGGAUAACGUAGUGAAAAUUACGCUAAUACCGCAUACGAUCUAUGGAUGAAAGCGGGGGAUCGCAAGACCUCGCGCGAUUGGAGCGGCCGAUAUCAGAUUAGGUAGUUGGUAGGGUAAAGGCCUACCAAGCCAACGAUCUGUAGCUGGUCUGAGAGGACGACCAGCCACACUGGAACUGAGACACGGUCCAGACUCCUACGGGAGGCAGCAGUGGGGAAUUUUGGACAAUGGGCGAAAGCCUGAUCCAGCCAUUCCGCGUGCAGGAUGAAGGCCCUCGGGUUGUAAACUGCUUUUGUACGGAACGAAAAGGUUUCCAUUAAUACUGGGGACUCAUGACGGUACCGUAAGAAUAAGCACCGGCUAACUACGUG